rnacentral:rRNA from 1 species
UACGUAGGGUGCAAGCGUUGUCCGGAAUUAUUGGGCGUAAAGAGCUCGUAGGCGGUUUGUCGCGUCGAAUGUGAAAACCCGAAGCUCAACUUCGGGCCUGCAUCCGAAACUGCCCGACUAGAGGUAGGUAGGGGAGAUCGGAAUUCCUGGUGUAGCGGUGAAAUGCGCAGAUAUCAGGAGGAACACCGGUGGCGAAGGCG